AAUAAACCUUAACUUUUCACUUUGUGUUUGGCUGAAUUUGGGUUCUCUGUCUCAGGCUGUGAUAGUAAAAUCUGGCCAAAAGAUGGACCCAUCGCCAGCACAGCAGUGGCGCCCUAAUGUUUAUUACUCUAUUGCCCGUCUAGAUUCCAGCAUGGGGGAAAUAAUUUCUAUGCUGCGCUCCAUGACUCCUGCCCCUCCACGCCAGUGCCCUCACAGCCUGUUUCCUCCGUGGUAAGAGAGCCUAGACUCACACCUCUUGAGCUGUUUAAGGGAGAUCCUGACCAGUGCUGUGCUUUUCUUACUCGGUGUGAGAUUCAUUUUGAGCUUCAGCCUUCUUCGUUCCCUUCUGAGCGCUCUAAGGUGGCGUUUGUUAUUUCUCUGCUAUCUGGAAAGGCUAAGCAAUGGGGCACUGUGGAGUGGCAGAAUGGUUUGGUCACGUGUGCUUCUUAUGCUGCAUUUUCCAAGGAGCUCAUCAGGGUUUUUGACCCAUUUCUAUAGGGAACCCAGUUUCCUAGUCGUGAGGCUGGCAGAUGUUUACUCUCCAUAAAACAGGGAGAGAGAAGUGUCACAUAUAUCAUUGACUUUCAUUUGUUGGCAGCUGACAGUUAUUGGAAUGAGCAUGCUCAAAUGGAUGCUUUCAUGCAAGGUCUUAAUGAGAACAUCAAGGAUGAACUGGCUACCUGGGACUACCCUGCCUCCAUUCACCAACUUGAGGACCUGGUAACCCAAAUUGAUUUACGGCUCACAGAAAGGAGGAGGGAGAGGCGUCAUAAGGAGGUUAAACCUUCCUCAGUUCACAGUCCUGUUCCCCACCUAGAACCCAAGGGUCUUCCACCCUCUUCUGAACACCGAUAUGACCAUGAGCCCAUGCAGUUGGGUCGAUCAAAGAUUUCUGUGGGGGAGCGCGAUCGACGAAGGAAAAACAACUUGUGCUUUUAUUGUGGUGGACAGGGUCAUGUUGCCUUCAAGUGUCCGUUAAAAGCCCAGGCUCAGUAGAGGUGUCAGUGUUCAUUGACCCAGGGGUAGACACAGAAUUUAUGGAUGAGUUGUUCGCCAGGGACCAUGACAUCAAGCUCCUUCCCACGUCUGACGCCCAUUAUGUCCUGGCUUUGGAUGGUCAUAGCAUCAACAGUUCACACUACAAAACAGAGGUAAUCAAACUCACACUGGGGGGCAACCAUUUGGAUGAAGUGACUUUCAGGAUCAUCAACUUGCCUAAACUACCCAUUGUUUUAGGGGCCACCUGUUUACAAAAGCACAACCCCCACAUUGACUGGCAAGCCAAAUAGAUUUUGGGCUGGGCUAAGUCCUGCUCGGCCACGUGUCUGUCUUCUGCCACCACAGAUAACAUUCCUGAAAAUGACAUUGAGGAGACAUACCCCGAUUUGUCUAAGGUGCCUCCUGAAUAUUAUGCUUUUAAGGAGGUUUUCAACAAGUCCAGACCCAUGGCACUUCCACCUCACAGACCCUAUGACUGCGCCAUUGAGCUCCUAUCCGGCACAUCUCCCCCUAGGGGUUGAUUGUAUUCAUUGUCUGGACCAGAGAACCAAGCCAUGAGGAAGUAUGUCGAUGAAUCAUUAAAGGGUGGUAUAAUCAGACCUUCUUCUCCAGCAGGGGCAGGCUUCUUCUUUGUGGGGAAGAAGGAUGGUUCCUUGAGACCAUGCAUCGACUACAGGGGACUAAACGACAUCACCAUCAAGAACCGAUACCCUCUACCACUCAUGAACACUGCUUUUGACCAGAUUCAAGGCGCCAAGAUUUUCUCCAAGCCAGACUUGAGAAACGAUUACCACCUGGUCUGCAUCAAGGAGGGGGACGAAUGGAAGAUGGCGUUUAACACUCCCACUGGUCACUAUGAGUACUGCGUAAUGCCUUUUGGUUUAACUAAUGCCCCUGCAGUGUUUCAGGCAUUGGUUAAUGAUGUCCUGAGGGACAUGGUUGGACAGUUUGUUUUUGUUUACCUUGACAUUCUGAUUUAUUCCCAGGAUCUGGAAACUCACUGAAGUCAUGUUCGGGCCGUUCUCCUCCGUCUUCUUCAAAAUCACCUGUGUGUCAAAGCUGAAAAGUGUAAGUUUCACACCACCACCACUUCAUUCUUGGGAUUCAUUAUUUCUCCUGACCAAGUCAUUGUGGAUCCUUUCAAAGUCAAGGAGGUCUUGGAAUGGCCUUCUCCUACCGAGUGCAAGCAGCUGCAAAGGUUUCUGGGGUUUGUUAACUUUUCCAGACAUUUUAUCAGACAUUAUAGCCUAGUAGUAGCCCCUCUUAACACCCUCACAUCUAAGGUCAAGUUUGUAUGGAACGAGAUGGCAGAAAGAGCAUUUGUCAAGCUCAAAUAUUUAUUUACGUCUGUUCCUGUUCUACGGUCCCCUAACCCCGAAAAACAGUUCAUAGUGGAGGUCAACACCUCUAACACUAGGGUUGGAGCAGUCUUAAGCCAAAGAAGUUGUGAUGAUCGUGUUCACCCAUGUGCCUUCUUUUCUAGGACUUUGUCCCAAGCAGAAUGCAAUUAUGAUGUGGGGGGACCGAGAACUGCUGGCAGUCAAGUUGGCUCUCGAGGAGUGGAGGCAUUGGCUAGAGGGGGCUAAGGAACCGUUUCUUGUUUGGACAGAUCAUAAGAACCUGGAGUACCUGAGAUCAGCAAAGUGCCUUAAUCCCAGGCAGGCAAGCCACCCUUGUUCACAGUCCAGGAGAAGGAAGCUGAGGUUCCUUCUGCUCAGGCCAUGGCCCUAAGAUGUCAGUGUAUCUGGAGAAAGGCAAGAAGGAUCAUGAUCAGGAUGUCGGAGGUGCAGGCACACACAGCAAAUCGUCAGAGAAUCCCUGCUCCAAGCUACCAAGUGGUACAGAAGGUUUGGCUGUCCACCAAGGACCUCCUGCUUCUGGUUGACUCCCGUAAUCUGGCACCUCAUUUUGUGGGACCUUUUCCCAUAUCCAAGAUCAUCAAUCCUGUGGCUGUUCAUUUAUGUCUGCCUCGUGCGAUGAGAGUUCACCCUACGUGGUGUCCCGUCUCGGGCAUUCCUUCCUGACUGAUCUCCUUUUCUGACCUCGUUCUCUGACUUUGCCUUGCCUCACAGAUUUUGUCUUCCUGCCUGCCCCUUGUCUGACGGAUUGGAUUUCUGGAUUUUGACUCUGAUUUCUGCCUCUGGUUUCAUGCCUUUGCCUGCCCCUUGUCCCACACCUCUAGCCCUGGAACUCAACUCUGUUUCUGUCCCUGGAUUUACGCCCCAGCCGAGCCACUGGUUUAUUCAGCCUGAGCCUGCCUGGCUCUCAAGUCCACCUGGAAUUAUUGUCAAGAGGACAAUCGCAGCUCUGUAUUCUGGUCACAGCUUCAGCUGAUUACCCUGUGGAUUUGGAUCAGUCUGCAAUCUGACUUCAUUCUGUUGGAUUCUUCCUCAUUAACUGUCUGGAUCACAUCCUCUUCUGGAUUUUGUGCCUCAUUUCCAGACUGAGAAGGUUAGUGGCUUUAUCUAACUCUUUGCAAGUCCUGAGUUUUAUUCAGCCACUAACUCGUCUCUCUGUCUUCAGUGAUUCGUGGAAGCUGACUGCUGCUCUCCUGCUUUCUGAUCCUGAGUUACUGAAUAAACCUUAACUUUUCACUUUGUUUGGCUGAAUUUGGGUUCUCUGUCUCAGGCUGUGAAAGCUGUGGGGAUGGUUUU